GUGGGGGCUUUCCACGAGGCUCACCUGAGCAGAAGUUAGUUUGCAGGCAUGAGAAAUCACAGUGAGAGCAACGCUAUUGUUGCACCACCAUGUGACAGCCUCCAGUUUCUGCAGCUGGAUCUGUCCUGCCACUUCCCAUGAGAAUGGGUGAGCCCAAAUGCAAGACAAUGACACGGAGAUAGAGGGACGCAAAUGAGGAUGUGAGCGUGGCUGGAGCUGAACGGCAAACCGGAGGAUGAAUGGAAAGGCAGGCAGGAGGCAAUGCUUCUCUUGUCACAGAGACAGAGUUAACACAGGCAACCACAGUGCUGAAACAAAACUUAGAAUACACAAUCCUAAGCAGCCGGGAACGUGAAUUACCACACUGCUGAAACAACGAUCUGGCGAUGAGUGGAUGCAAAGCCAGCGUAUUUAUGCUGCAGGUUUAGAUGAGGAUCAAGUGUGCCACAAUCAAGGAGCCUGGGAGAACACGGGGAAAAGGGAAUUAGGAGUAUAUGAAGAAUCAAUGGUCAGGACGGUGACAAUACUCCCCUCUCAACGGGAACCUCCAGGCAAACCAUAGAACUAAGGAAUAGCCAUCUUACUGGAAGUCCAGGUCUGUCUCAAGUUUACCAUUUUGUCUCAGGUUACCAUACCUGUCUCAAGAGCAUUUGGUGUGUUUUGAGUUUACCGUCCUGUCUCAAGGUUACCAUACCUAUCUCAAGAUCAUCAGGUCUGUCUUGAAUUUACCGGCCCUGUCUCAAGUUCCCCAGGGCUCCCUGGGCUACCAUAUGGCCUUAGGGAGGGAGGUACUGUCAUGAACCCCAUGGGCCUGAGUAUCUGCAUUUAUUAAUUAUUGCCUUGUGUAGAGUUGUUAAGCCCUUCUGCUUUCUGUUUAAUCUUGUCAAGUUUAUUUUGACUGGCACAGGUUUUCUGUGUACCUUGAUUAUUUAAAGAAGGCUGUGAUUAGUGUAUAUGUUUCCUGAUCCUUGUGUGUCAAGAAUGAUUUGU